CACGUAGUUAGUCGUGGCUUUCUUGAAAAGUACCGUCAAGUAGAACUCAUUUCCUAAUUCUACCAUUCUUUCUUAACAACAGAGUUUUACAACCCAUGGGGCCUUCAUCACUCACGCGGCAUUGCUCGUUCAGGGUUUCCCCCAUUGACGAAUAUUCCUAACUGCUGUCUCCCGUAGGAGUCUGGGCCGUGUCUCAGUCCCAGUGUGGCCGAUUAACCUCUCAGUUCGGCUACGCAUCGCUGUCUUGGUAGCCAUUACCCCACCAACUAACUAAUACGCCGCAGGCCCAUCUCUAAGCGAAGCUUUAAGGGCUUCUUUACUCCGUAGAGCACAUUCGGUAUUAUCAACCGUUUCCAGUUGUUAUCCCCAACUUAGAGGCAGGUAAACCCCACGUGUUAACUCCACCCGUUUGCCACUAGGUGGAAAAUCCAAAAUCCAUCUUGUGCAAGCACUCAGACUUCAAUGGGCCACUCGUUCGACUUGCAUGUCUUAGGCCAUCGCCGCCAGGCGUUCACUCCUGAGUCC
rnacentral:rRNA from 1 species